rnacentral:rRNA from 1 species
UACGUAGGGGGCAAGCGUUAUCCGGAUUUACUGGGUGUAAAGGGAGCGUAGACGGUUAAUCAAGUCAGAAGUGAAAACCCAGGGCUCAACCUUGGGACUGCUUUUGAAACUGAGUAGCUAGAGUACAGGAGAGGAAAGCGGAAUUCCUAGUGUAGCGGUGAAAUGCGUAGAUAUUAGGAAGAACACCAGUGGCGAAGGCGGCUUUCUGGACUGAAACUGACGCUGAGGCACGAAAGCGUGGGGAGCGAACAGG